CCAGACUCCUACGGGAGGCAGCAGUGAGGAAUAUUGGUCAAUGGGCGAGAGCCUGAACCAGCCAAGUCGCGUGAGGGAAGACGGUCCUACGGAUUGUAAACCUCUUUUGUCAGGGAGCAAGGUGCAGGUCGGGACCUGCUGUGAGAGUACCUGAAGAAAAAGCAUCGGCUAACUCCGUGCCAGCAGCCGCGGUAAUACGGAGGAUGCGAGCGUUAUCCGGAUUUAUUGGGUUUAAAGGGUGCGUAGGCGGGCUGUUAAGUCCGCGGUCAAAUGGCGGGGCUCAACCCCGGCCUGCCGUUGAAACUGGCGGCCUCGAGUGGGCGAGAAGUAUGCGGAAUGCGUGGUGUAGCGGUGAAAUGCAUAGAUAUCACGCAGAACUCCGAUUGCGAAGGCAGCAUACCGGCGCCCUACUGACGCUGAGGCACGAAAGCGUGGGUAUCGAACAGGAUUAGAUACCCCUGUA
rnacentral:rRNA from 1 species